rnacentral:rRNA from 1 species
UACGGAGGGAGCUAGCGUUGUUCGGAAUUACUGGGCGUAAAGCGCGCGUAGGCGGCUUUGUAAGUUAGAGGUGAAAGCCCGGGGCUCAACUCCGGAACUGCCUUUAAGACUGCAUCGCUUGAAUCCGGGAGAGGUGAGUGGAAUUCCGAGUGUAGAGGUGAAAUUCGUAGAUAUUGGGAAGAACACCGGUGGCGAAGGCGGCUCACUGGCUCAUUACUGACGCUCAGGCGCGAUAGCGUGGGGAUCAAACAGG